rnacentral:tRNA from 1 species
GGACGUGUGGCCGAGAGGUCUAAGGCGCUAGCUUCAGGAAUGCUAGUCUCUUCGGAGGCGUGAGUUCGAACCUCACCGCGUUCA